rnacentral:tRNA from 1 species
UGGCUCAGUAGCUCAGUGGUUAGAGCAGGGGAUUCAUAAGCCCAAGGUCGCAGGUUCAAAUCCCGCUUGAGCCAU